CCAUCCCAUCUCGAGCCUCCCGAGGGAUUGCGGCGCAAGUGGGGAUCAAUCUCAGGCGAGGCUUGCCAUUGAUCCGCUGCUGGAGGGAUCGACCCGAGGCGAGGCAUCCAGCCUCGAUCCGGUGCGACGCGCACGAGAUCCGGCGAUCGACAGGAUCCCGCCCGUAGCAGAUGGGCGACGUUUCCUCUUUGCCGUCGCCGUUACUCCUUGCCGCACCCACUCGUGGCCGUGGUGGCCAGGGUUCGCCUCCGCCUCCGACCUCGGCGCGGCCCCUCCUCCCGCUUGCCUCCCCUCCCCCAGCAACGAGGAGGAGCACCCGGUGCCCCCGCCCCCAAGCUCGCCGACUGCGACGUCCUCCGGCCCAAGUUUGCUGCUACUGCUCCUCCUCUCCUCUGUCCUCGUCUUCCCCAAGCAUUAAGGUCGCUUGGUGAACAGAGAGGGGCUGCAGGGGGAAGAGCCAGGCAAGUUCAAAUCUUGGGAGCUCAAGGUAUUUGAAAAGACUUUCAUGUUCAAGUGGGCUUCUUUAGAUCUGUUGAUGCCAGUUAGAUUUCUAUUUGCUGCAGCGACAAAGCAUGAUAUAUAUGUUAUCUUCCUGUUGGCCGUGCAUAAUCAAGUUUUUUCUAUAAUGGACGUGAUGCUCCAUCAGCUUCCACAUGCAGCACUUGGAAAAGUUGUUAAUGGUGAAAAAAAUGAUUUGAACAAUUAUUAAGACAUAAAUGAGAUGCAAAAGCAUACUGAUGGUUAGUAUUUACUUGGUACCAGCCAUUUGCAGUAAUGUCAGUACUUAUGUAACAAAUACUUCUAUCGUCAUCGUUGUAGAUCGAAUAACCAUACAUUCCUUUCUCGGCAGCUCCUGAGAGAAGACGAAUUCACUGUUUCAGAAGGAAGGGAGCCCCUUAGUUUUACCUACAUUCUUAAACACCCAAAUACUAUUUUAUUAUGAUGUUUUUUAAACAACCAAAAGCAUGAGAGAACAUCGAAUUCUUGAUUGCUAACAAAGGAGCACAAUACAAGUUGAUGGAGAGAAAUACUGUUUUAUUCUGA